rnacentral:rRNA from 1 species
CGGCCGCCUAAUUUAUGCAAGUCGACCGGUAACUUUCUUCGGGAAGCUAGAGCGGCGCACGGGUGAGUAACGCGUACAUGACCUGCCUUUAAGACCGGGAUAGCCCUGGGAAACUGGGAUUAAUACCGGAUGUGAUAAUAGACGUAAAGAUUUAUUAUUAAAGUUACGGCGCUUAGAGAUGGAUGUGCGUCUGAUUAGCUAGUUGGUAGGGUAACGGCCUACCAAGGCUACGAUCAGUAGGGGGCGUGAGAGCGUGGCCCCCCACACGGGUACUGAGACACGGACCCGACUCCUACGGGAGGCAGCAGUAAGGAAUAUUGGUCAAUGGACGAAAGUCUGAACCAGCCAUCCCGCGUGCAGGAUGAAGGUCCUAUGGAUUGUAAACUGCUUUUAGCAGAGAAGAAAAGCAUCCUUUUAAGGGUGUCUGACGGUAUAUGCGGAAUAAGCACCGGCUAACUCCGUGCCAGCAGCCGCGGUAAUACGGAGGGUGCAAGCGUUAUCCGGAAUCACUGGGUUUAAAGGGUGCGUAGGCGGAAUAUUAAGUCAGUGGUGAAAGCCUGUCGCUUAACG